GCGAGCGGCGCUGCCCUCCACCACCUCCACAUCUUUGAUGACCACACUGAAGCUGGGUUUAGACUCGGUCUUUUGUUCGUACUCCAAACACUCCAGGAACUGAUUAUCCUCUGAAAACAAACCAGCAGGUGGCUUAGAGACGUUGUUUCACAACGAGCCAUAGCAGAAUGCUGCUCAAGCUCAGCCUGGUUCUGGUUCUGCUAGAGGAUGUACUUCUUCAUCCUCUCCUUGGACAGCUUGGUGGUCUUCAUGGUAUUGGUGUCCUGUUUCAGCCAGGGGUGUUCAAAACACUGAGGGCAGGUCAGCCGAGCCCUGAAGAGGGACAUGUUACACUGUGAACAGAGUGAUGUGUCUGCAGAUACUUACUGUUGGUGAUGAAGUCUUUGGCGUUCUCAGAGAUUUCAUCAAAGGCCUCGUCCUCAAAGUCCCACGUUGCUGAGGUAACAUUGGCCAGAGUCUCGUUGUCGUUGUCGCCCAUGAAUGGAGAGAGACCGCUCAGCCUGAGGGGAUAAAACCAGAAGAAAGGCCUUAGCUAAGGAGCUACAAACUCUGGAGUCCCAAACAGAACCUUCAGAGUUCCAGCGUUUUCUGUUGGUGGACAAAAACAAUAUUCAAACCAUCGCAGUUAGAAGAAGAAGAAACACAGCGGGAAGAACUGAGAAGCUCAGCAUGAACAUUUCCCCCGAAACUCCGUUCCAGUUAGAGAUCCAGUUAAAAUGAGUUAACUGGUUAGUUUCAGUUAGAGGGCUGGUGGUCUUAGUCUCAGAGUCU